rnacentral:rRNA from 1 species
UACGUAGGGUGCGAGCGUUGUCCGGAAUUAUUGGGCGUAGAGGGCUCGUAGGCGGUUUGUCACGUCGGGAGUGAAAACUCGGGGCUUAACCCCGAGCCUGCUUCCGAUACGGGCAGACUAGAGGUAUGCAGGGGAGAACGGAAUUCCUGGUGUAGCGGUGAAAUGCGCAGAUAUCAGGAGGAACACCGGUGGCGAAGGCGGUUCUCUGGGCAUUACCUGACGCUGAGGAGCGAAAGUGUGGGGAGCGAACAGG